CUGGCUCAGGAUGAACGCUAGCGGCAGGCUUAACACAUGCAAGUCGAGGGGCAGCGCGAGGUAGCAAUACUUGGCGGCGACCGGCGGAAGGGUGCGUAACGCGUGAGCAACAUGCCCGUAUGAGGGGGAUAAGCGAUGGAAACGUCGUCUAAUACCCCGUAACACAGGAGAUCGCAUGAUCACCUGUUGAAAGAUUUAUCGCAUACGGAUUGGCUCGCGUGACAUUAGCUAGUCGGCGGGGUAACGGCCCACCGAGGCGACGAUGUCUAGGGGUUCUGAGAGGAAGGUCCCCCACACUGGAACUGAGACACGGUCCAGACUCCUACGGGAGGCAGCAGUGAGGAAUAUUGGUCAAUGGGCGGAAGCCUGAACCAGCCAUGCCGCGUGAAGGAAUAAGGCCCUAUGGGUCGUAAACUUCUUUUGACGGGGAGCAAUAAGGGUCACGUGUGGCCCGAUGAGAGUACUCGUCGAAUAAGCAUCGGCUAACUCCGUGCCAGCCGCCGC
rnacentral:rRNA from 1 species